rnacentral:tRNA from 1 species
GGCACUAUGGCCGAGUGGUUAAGGCGAGAGACUCGAAUGGUAUAUUCGGCUAUCUCUUGGGCUCUGCCCGCGCUGGUUCAAAUCCUGCUGGUGUCG